rnacentral:ribozyme from 1 species
GCCCUCGCCCAGGACCCCUCGUGAGGGCAGAACUCGCGCAUCGCCCAGGAC